UCCAGACUCCUACGGGAGGCAGCAGUGGGGGAUAUUGCACAAUGGGGGAAACCCUGAUGCAGCGACGCCGCGUGGGUGAAGAAGUAUUUCGGUAUGUAAAGCCCUAUCAGCAGGGAAGAAAGAAGACGGUACCUGACUAAGAAGCCCCGGCUAACUACGUGCCAGCAGCCGCGGUAAUACGUAGGGGGCGAGCGUUAUCCGGAUUCACUGGGUGUAAAGGGAGCGUAGACGGCCGUGCAAGCCAGGAGUGAAAUGCCGGGGCCCAACCCCGGAACUGCUUUGGAAACUGUGCAGCUCGAGUGCAGGAGAGGUAAGCGGAAUUCCUAGUGUAGCGGUGAAAUGCGUAGAUAUUAGGAGGAACACCAGUGGCGAAGGCGGCUUACUGGACUGUAACUGACGUUGAGGCUCGAAAGCGUGGGGAGCAAACAGGAUUAGAUACCCCAGUA
rnacentral:rRNA from 1 species